GAGCGCGACCACGGAGGCGGGGAUCGCCCGGUCCCAUGCCGAACCCGGCAGCUAAGCCCGCCAUCGCCCGACGUACUGCGGUGUAGUCCGCGGAAGGCAGGGUCGUCGCGCUCG
rnacentral:rRNA from 1 species